GAUGUAGAGCGGUGGUCGACGGCGGCAACCUGCUCCCAAGUUGCAAGUGAUGUUGCCAGAUAGCAGUAUACCAAGGGUUCUAAGAAUUUGAUUCAUAAAUGUAGCCAAGAUGCAGCGCGGUGGUCGACGGCGGCGGCCUGCUCCCAAGUUGCAGGUGCGUGCAUGGACAUCUUCAUGAUUACUGAUUAUAAGAUCUUCAUGAUUACUGAUUAUAAGUGAACACACGUAUCUUCUCUCGAGGUUCUGAGUGUUGAGAGUGGUUGCUCAUUGUUUCUGUAUUCAAAUACUGAUGAAUCAACACUUCCAAAAGAUAUACUGAUGGCCAAAGAAGAUUGGGGAAGUUCCACUAUGUUCCUACAGACUGUUGGCCAAAAAAGAUUGGGGGAAAAUAGCUCUGGAGAAGGAUUGAGAUGAAAAUGGGAUUGGGAUCUCACUUCGCAAUGCAUUGAAGAAUCAUGGUAGAACUUUUUAUA